CCGCGUGAGGGAGUGACGGCGUUCGGUUGUAACUCUUUUGUCAGGGACGAUGAUGACGGUACCUGACGAAUAAGCCACGGCUAACUACGUGCCAGCAGCCGCGGUAAUACGUAGGUGGCAAGCGUUGUCCGGAUUUACUGGGCGUAAAGAGCGCGCAGGCGGUCGUUCAAGUCGCGUGUGAAAGCCCCCGGCUCAACUGGGGAGGGUCACGCGAUACUGAUCGACUCGAAGGCAGGAGAGGGUAGUGGAAUUCCCGGUGUAGUGGUGAAAUGCGUAGAUAUCGGGAGGAACACCAGUGGCGAAGGCGACUACCUGGCCUGUUUCUUGACGCUGAGGCGCGAAAGCUAGGGGAGCAAACGGGAUUAGAUACCCCGGUAGUCCUAGCCGUAAACGAUGGACACUAGGUGUUGGUGGUAUCAACCCCGCCAGUGCCGAAGCUAACGCAUUAAGUGUCCCGCCUGGGGAGUACGGCCGCAAGGCUA
rnacentral:rRNA from 1 species